GAACGGGCAGAGGGAUCCUCCUCCCGUCAUUGCUGCCUCUUCAACAGUUUUGUUGUGCUCCUCUGGACUCACUCCAGCACCUCAAUAUUCUUCUUGAAGUGAGUGGCCUGGAACUGCAUGGAGUGCUCGAGGUUUGCUUGGAUGAGAACUAAUCCACUUCUAAGUGUAUUACAUAAAAUGAAUAUACACCUGUGGAAACAGUCAUGAGAAUUCUAGAUGCAUAAUGGAAAAGAAAACCUUAAUAAAGAGGAAGAGUUAUUCUCUGACACAUCAAAUAUUACUUAUCUAUGAGUAACAGGCAGUCCUCAGGAGGCCAGCCAGAUAAUCAUGGAAUCAUAGACUUCUUUCAGUUGGAAAAGACCUCUAAGAACAUUGAGCCUAACUGUCAACCUAACACCACCAUGGACAUAAAACUAUGUUCUGAAGUGCCAUGUCUACACAUUUUGAACAUGCCCAGAGAUGAUUAUCACACUCCUUUCUGGGCAGCGUAUUUCAAUGCCUGACUACUCUGUCAGUAAUGUUUCCUAAUGUUUCCAAUCUAAGCUUCCACUGGUGCAAUUUGAGGCUAUUUCCUCUCAAUAUAUCACUUGAUAAUAAAGAGACUAACACUUA